rnacentral:rRNA from 1 species
GAUGAACGCUGGCGGCGUGCUUAACACAUGCAAGUCGAACGGAAAGGCGCUGCUCUUGCUGGUUUCUCGAUUGGCGAAGGGGUGAGUAACACGCGAGUAACCUGCCCUUGUCUGUGGGAUAACUUCAGGAAACUGGGGCGAAUAUCCGAUAGGAUCUCCUGCUGCAUGGUGGGGGUUGGAAAGAUUCGGCGGUUGGGGAUGGACUCGCGGCUUAUCAGCCUGUUUGUGAGGUAGUGGCUUACGAAGGCUUUGACGGGUAGCCGGCCUGGGAGGGUGACCGGGGACAUUGGGACUACGAUAGGGAGCAGACGCCAACGGGCGGCAACGGGGGAAGAUAUUGCGCAAUGGGCGGAAGCCUGUUGCGGCAGCGCCGCGUGCGGGAUGACGGGCUUCGGGUUAUAAACCGCUUUGGACUGUGACAAAGAGUGAGUGACGGUAAUGGGUAAAGAAGCACCGGCUAACUACGUG